CACUGCAAUAGGAGCACCAUUGUACCUCCCGCUGCCUCACCCUAAUAAUGGGCGCAGGAGAAAACAAGUGAAUCUUUAACGCAAAAAUGACUGCAGGAAUUCGCUUUCUCGGGGCCCGUCUGUUCCCCGGCUCCAGUAUGGCACAGGGAUCUACUUACCUGCUUUAUUCUGAUGAAUGUGCCAGGCCCGUCAUGGUGCCUUUCUCCAUGUACUCCACCUUCCUCACCGCAUCCUUGAUGUCCUGGGCAUUGGUGAAGCUGUUCAGGGUGAACUCAGUGCGGACACGGCUGGAAUACUGCACCAGGCCAAUCCGAGUGCCGUGGGACGACACAUCCAGGGAGUCCACAACCUGGUUCACAAACUGCUUGACGAGCUCGAAGUUCUGAGGCCUCACGCUCUUGGAGCCAUCAAUGAGCAUUACCAGGUCGAUAUUUGCAGAUCUGCAAGCUGUAGAGGGCAAAUAGUUAAAUAUCUGACUGUCACAGACUGUAAACUUACAAAUUUCCAUCCAUCUUCCCACCACUCAUCAAGUAUAUAGCCAAAUCCAGACAACAUAGGACGCAAGGCAGGGAUACGCUCUAAAUGGGAUGUCAGCUCAUUGCAAGGCAUAUGCAUACACAGUCACAUAUGUAGCUUCAUCUUGGCCAGGAUCUCCCACACCUUGUGUCCCGUGCAUCUUCUCUACACUCACUGCAACCUUCUACUGGUUACCCAACAGUGGAAAAAUUUGUGAUGUCUUUUUUUAACAUGAUUUCAUUUAAUCAGACUCUGACUCCUAUUCGUUGUACUGUGGUGUGGAUGUUUGCUAGAACUUUCCUUGUGUUGUACCCUGCAGCCCUGGCUACCAAAUAAACCAGGGUGACCUUCA